rnacentral:piRNA from 1 species
UAACAGCCAUAAGUACAUACAUGUGUGCACC